rnacentral:rRNA from 1 species
AUUGAACGCUGGCGGCAGGCCUAACACAUGCAAGUCGAACGAGUGGCGGACGGGUGAGUAGUGUCUGGGAAACUGCCUGAUGGAGGGGGAUAACUACUGGAAACGGUAGCUAAUACCGCAUACCAUCGGAUGUGCCCAGAUGGGAUUAGCUAGUAGGUGGGGUAAAGGCUCACCUAGGCGACGAUCCCUAGCUGGUCUGAGAGGAUGACCAGCCAAACUGGAACUGAGACUCUGUCCAGAAGCCUACGAGAGGCAGGAAUGGGAAAUAUUGCACAAUGGGCGGAGGCCGGAUGGAGCCAUGCAGAGUGUAUGAAAAAGGCCUUCGGGUUGUCAAGUACUUUCAGCUGGGAGGCGUUACCCGCAGAAGAAGCACCGGCCAACACCGUGCCAGCCGCCGCGGUAAUAC